rnacentral:rRNA from 1 species
GACGAACCGUGCGAACGUUGUUCGGAAUUACUGGGCGUAAAGCGUGCGCAGGCGCCAUGCAAGACAGAUGUGAAAUCCCCGGGCUCAACCUGGGAACUGCAUUUUGUGACUGCAUGGCUAGAGUACGGGCAGAGGGGGGGAUGGAAAUUCCCGCGUGUAGCAGUGAAAAUCGUAGAUAUGCGGAGGAACACCGAUGGCGAAGGCAAUCCCCC